UACAGAGGUCCCAAGCGUUGUUCGGAUUCACUGGGCGUAAAGGGUGCGCAGGUGGGUUGGCAAGUUCGAUGUGAAAGCCCCGGGCUUAACCCGGGAAUGGCAUUGGAAACUGCUGAUCUGGAGGAUCGGAGGGGGGACUGGAAUUCUUGGUGUAGCAGUGAAAUGCGUAGAUAUCAAAGAGGAACACCAGUGGCGAAGGCGAGUCCCUGGACGAUACCUGACACUGAGGCACGAAAGCCAAGGAGCAAACAGG
rnacentral:rRNA from 1 species